ACGCCCCCGUGAUGUCCAGCCCUGGGCUCCGGCCACCCCUGCGGACAUCGGCUCCCAGGACCUUUGAUACCCAGGGGUCUGAGGGGCCC
rnacentral:snoRNA from 1 species